UGGGGAAUAUUGGACAAUGGGGGCAACCCUGAUCCAGCAAUGCCGCGUGUGUGAAGAAGGUUUUCGGAUUGUAAAGCACUUUCGGCGGGGACGAUGAUGACGGUACCCGCAGAAGAAGCCCCGGCUAACUUCGUGCCAGCAGCCGCGGUAAUACGAAGGGGGCUAGCGUUGCUCGGAAUGACUGGGCGUAAAGGGCGUGUAGGCGGUUUGUACAGUCAGAUGUGAAAUCCCCGGGCUUAACCUGGGAGCUGCAUUUGAUACGUGCAGACUAGAGUGUGAGAGAGGGUUGUGGAAUUCCCAGUGUAGAGGUGAAAUUCGUAGAUAUUGGGAAGAACACCGGUGGCGAAGGCGGCAACCUGGCUCAUGACUGACGCUGAGGCGCGAAAGCGUGGGGAGCAAACAGGAUUAGAUACCCUGGUAGUCCACGCUGUAAACGAUGUGUGCUGGAUGUUGGGCCAACUUAGUUGUUCAGUGUCGUAGUUAACGCGAUAAGCACACCGCCUGGGGAGUACGGCCGCAAGGUUGAAAC
rnacentral:rRNA from 1 species